CAAAACAUAACUUAAUAGUUAAGUAUUUCAUUUACACUGAAAAUUAUUCUGUGCAAUUCAGAAUGUUUUGA
rnacentral:tRNA from 1 species